UACGGAGGGUGCAAGCGUUAUCCGGAUUUACUGGGCGUAAAGGGCGCGUAGGCGGCCAGCACAAGUCAGUUGUGAAAUCUCCGAGCUUAACUCGGAAAGGUCAACUGAUACUGUGCGGCUAGAGUGCGGAAGGGGCAACUGGAAUUCUUGGUGUAGCGGUGAAAUGCGUAGAUAUCAAGAGGAACACCUGCGGCGAAGGCGGGUUGCUGGGCCGACACUGACGCUGAGGCGCGAAAGCCAGGGGAGCGAACGGG
rnacentral:rRNA from 1 species